rnacentral:rRNA from 1 species
CAGCAGCCGCGGUAAUACCAGCUCUCCGAGUGGUAGGGAUGUUUAUUGGGCUUAAAGCGUCCGUAGCCGGCUUAGCAAGUUUCCUGUUAAAUUCAGCGACCUAAUCGUUGAGCCGCGGGAAAUACUACUAGGCUAGGAGGCGGGAGAGGUCGACGGUACUUCUGGGGUAGGGGUGAAAUCCUAUAAUCCCGGGAGGACCACCAGUGGCGAAGGCUGUCGACUAGAACGCGCUCGACGGUGAGGGACGAAAGCUGGGGGAGCAAACCGGAUUAGAUACCCGGGUAGUCCCAGCUGUAAACGAUGCGGGCUAGGUGUUGGAAUGGCUACGUGCCAUUUCAGUGCCGCAGGGAAGCCAUUAAGCCCGCCGCCUGGGGAGUACGGCCGCAAGGCUGAAACUUAAAGGAAUUGGCGGGGGAGCACCACAAGGCGUGAAGCUUGCGGUUCAAUUGGAGUCAACGCCGGGAACCUUACCGGGGGCGACAGCAGAAUGAUAACCAGAUUGAAGGUCUUGUUUGACAAGCUGAGAGGAGGUGCAUGGCC